rnacentral:rRNA from 1 species
GAUGAACGCUGGCGGCGUGCCUAAUACAUGCAAGUCGAGCGAACGGACGAGAAGCUUGCUUCUCUGAUGUUAGCGGCGGACGGGUGAGUAACACGUGGAUAACCUACCUAUAAGACUGGGAUAACUUCGGGAAACCGGAGCUAAUACCGGAUAAUAUUUUGAACCGCAUGGUUCAAAAGUGAAAGACGGUCUUGCUGCCACUUAUAGAUGGAUCCGCGCUGCAUUAGCUAGUUGGUAAGGUAACGGCUUACCAAGGCAACGAUGCAUAGCCGACCUGAGAGGGUGAUCGGCCACACUGGAACUGAGACACGGUCCAGACUCCUACGGGAGGCAGCAGUAGGGAAUCUUCCGCAAUGGGCGAAAGCCUGACGGAGCAACGCCGCGUGAGUGAUGAAGGUCUUCGGAUCGUAAAACUCUGUUAUUAGGGAAGAACAUAUGUGUAAGUAACUGUGCACAUCUUGACGGUACCUAAUCAGAAAGCCACGGCUAACUACGUGCCAGCAGCCGCGGUAAUACGUAGGUGGCAAGCGUUAUCCGGAAUUAUUGGGCGUAAAGCGCGCGUAGGCGGUUUUUUAGUCUGAUGUGAAAGCCCACGGCUCAACCGUGGAGGGUCAUUGGAAACUGGAAAACUUGAGUGCAGAAGAGGAAAGUGGAAUUCCAUGUGUAGCGGUGAAAUGCGCAGAGAUAUGGAGGAACACCAGUGGCGAAGGCGACUUUCUGGUCUGUAACUGACGCUGAUGUGCGAAAGCGUGGGGAUCAAACAGGAUUAGAUACCCUGGUAGUCCACGCCGUAAACGAUGAGUGCUAAGUGUUAGGGGGUUUCCGCCCCUUAGUGCUGCAGCUAACGCAUUAAGCACUCCGCCUGGGGAGUACGACCGCAAGGUUGAAACUCAAAGGAAUUGGCGGGGACCCGCACAAGCGGUGGAGCAUGUGGUUUAAUUCGAAGCAACGCGAAGAACCUUACCAAAUCUUGACAUCCUUUGACAACUCUAGAGAUAGAGCCUUCCCCUUCGGGGGACAAAGUGACAGGUGGUGCAUGGUUGUCGUCAGCUCGUGUCGUGAGAUGUUGGGUUAAGUCCCGCAACGAGCGCAACCCUUAAGCUUAGUUGCCAUCAUUAAGUUGGGCACUCUAAGUUGACUGCCGGUGACAAACCGGAGGAAGGUGGGGAUGACGUCAAAUCAUCAUGCCCCUUAUGAUUUGGGCUACACACGUGCUACAAUGGACAAUACAAAGGGCAGCGAAACCGCGAGGUCAAGCAAAUCCCAUAAAGUUGUUCUCAGUUCGGAUUGUAGUCUGCAACUCGACUACAUGAAGCUGGAAUCGCUAGUAAUCGUAGAUCAGCAUGCUACGGUGAAUACGUUCCCGGGUCU